AACAAGAUUCUGCUCAUUUAUUAGAAUUGGCAUUUGUGACUUUAUAAUUAUAAAGGGUUAUUAGAUGUGCAUGAGUGAUAGUAUAUGGUAUGGUAUGUAUAUCAUUGUCUUAAGAGUAUAUAUUCAGAUCCUGCUUGUUCUCUCUCUCUCUCUCUCUCUCUCUCUCUCUCUCUCUCUCUCUCACACACACACACACACACACACACACACACACACACACAUAUAUAUUGGAUAGGCAUGCAUUAGGCAAUAAGCUGGUUCCCUUUCUAUGUUAAAUGCUUAAUUUUGGCAAAUUUGUAGAAGAAACCAAAAAGGUAGAAAACCAGAAAUAGAAGUAGUAACUCAUACAACUUAGAGUCGCCGGUUUAAUACAGCUCAAUUGAUUUUCUUGCAUCUUCAUACAUGCUGUUUAAAUUAGAUAUACCAGAUGAAUAUAGGUACUUAGACAUAAAAAAAGAUACUGGCAGUUUGCUGGGAAAGAGAUUAAGGAAUCAUAAGGUUGCCAUACAUAUUAUUUUGCUAUGCUUUGUACCUAAGAUAAUAUCAUAUUAAUUUGGAACCUAAAGAAUAAUCCCCUAUGUUUGCCCAGCAAAAAGCUUCGUGAUAUUAUUAGGAUUGCCACUUUACGGACAAGGCUUUCUGAACUUAUAGGUUAUUUGUUGAUCAUUCAACCCAGAGAUUUGUAGUUCUAAGAAUACAGCUUCUAGUAGAGGGUAAAAAAGAAAUGAACUUAACUAAAUCAUCUUUCAGAUGACACAAUACAUAUCAAGUUGUGCUUAAAAGCAAAGCUAACAGCAGAAGGUGCUUAAGCUAUGUAUAUACACCUUUUUAUAUGUCAAUUGUACAUCUCCUUGUGUAUGGAGACAUUAAUCAAUUUCUGAUGAAAAGCUAGGACAAACAGAUAUAUUUAUAUGAAUAUCAUUGAUUCUGCCAACAUCUCUUGAGAGCUAUACCAUUAGAUGCAUUUUUAAAUAAAAAUAUUGAUAAAGCUCCAGUACACCAUUCUCAACUGUGAAAUUAGUACAUGUGUUUCUUCCACUUCUGUUUCCUUAUCCACAAUACAUUUAAAAGUUUGACAUGCAAAAGAGUUUGCCAUAAUCUUGACCUUAGAAUAUAUGACGCGUGUGUUUAUGCCAGGGUUGUGAAAAGCGAGAAGUGAAGCGUAGCGACCACUUACCCGCUUCUGUUAUAUGAAGCGACUCAGUUAGACAAAAGCGUGCGCUUCUUCUUCUUCAACAGAGAUUCAGCGGCAACAGGUGCAACGAUUGCGGAUGAAAGCAGUGACGGAGACCUUAAUUGAGUAUUGUUGAUCGUUGUUAGACUUUCUAUUAUUAUGUUCAAGGAUAUUUUAGUUUUAGAACUUUUUGUAUGCAAACUCAUCUAUUUUGACUUUUGAAUUGUUGAUCAAACAAUGUAUUCAUAUUUUGUUUUUGUAUAUGGAUAAUGCUAGUUGGAUAUUUUAAUUUUA